rnacentral:rRNA from 1 species
ACAGUCGCAUGGCUCGUGGUUGGAAAGAUUUUUUGGUUGGGGAUGGGCUCGCGGCCUAUCAGCUUGUUGGUGAGGUAAUGGCUCACCAAGGCGUCGACGGGUAGCCGGCCUGAGAGGGUGACCGGCCACACUGGGACUGAGACACGGCCCAGACUCCUACGGGAGGCAGCAGUGGGGAAUAUUGCACAAUGGGCGCAAGCCUGAUGCAGCAACGCCGCGUGAGGGAUGACGGCCUUCGGGUUGUAAACCUCUUUUAGCAAGGAAGAAGCGAAAGUGACGGUACUUGCAGAAAAAGCGCCGGCUAACUACGUGCCAGCAGCCGCGGUAAUACGUAGGGCGCAAGCGUUAUCCGGAAUUAUUGGGCGUAAAGAGCUCGUAGGCGGUUUGUCGCGUCUGCUGUGAAAUCCCGAGGCUCAACCUCGGGUCUGCAGUGGGUACGGGCAGACUAGAGUGCGGUAGGGGAGAUUGGAAUUCCUUGGUGUAGAGGUGGAAUGCGCAGAUAUCAGGAGGAACACCGAUGGCGAAGGCAGAUCUCUGGGCCGUAACUGACGCUGAGGAGCGAAAGGGUGGGGAGCAAACAGGCUUAGAUACCCUGGUAGUCCACCCCGUAAACGUUGGGAACUAGUUGUGGGGUCCUUUCCACGGAUUCCGUGACGCAGCUAACGCAUUAAGUUCCCCGCCUGGGGGAGUACGGCCGCAAGGCUAAAACUCAAAAGGAAUUGACGGGGGACCCGCACAAACCGGCGGAGCAUGGCGGAUUAAUUCGAUGCAACGCGAAGAACCUUACCAAGGCUUGACAUACACGAGAACACUCUAGAAAUAGGGGACUCUUUGGACACUCGUGAACAGGUGGUGCAUGGUUGUCGUCAGCUCGUGUCGUGAGAUGUUGGGUUAAGUCCCGCAACGAGCGCAACCCUCGUUCUAUGUUGCCAGCACGUUAUGGUGGGAACUCAUGGGAUACUGCCGGGGUCAACUCGGAGGAAGGUGGGGAUGACGUCAAAUCAUCAUGCCCCUUAUGUCUUGGGCUUCACGCAUGCUACAAUGGCCGGUACAAAGGGCUGCAAUACCGUGAGGUGGAGCGAAUCCCAAAAAGCCGGUCCCAGUUCGGAUUGAGGUCUGCAACUCGACCUCAUGAAGUCGGAGUCGCUAGUAAUCGCAGAUCAGCAACGCUGCGGUGAAUACGUUCCCGGGUCUUGUACACACCGCCCGUCAAGUCAUGAAAGUCGGUAACACCUGAAGCC